GGCGGACGUAGCCAAGUGGAUUAAGGCAGUGGAUUGUGGAUCCUCCAUUCGCGGGUCAUCCCGUAA
rnacentral:tRNA from 1 species